rnacentral:rRNA from 1 species
UACGUAGGGUGCAAGCGUUUAAUCGGAAUUACUGGGCGUAAAGGGCGUGCAGGCGGUUUGUUAAGUCUAGGGUGAAAGCUCCCGGCUCAACUGGGAGAGGUCCUUGGAUACUGGCAAACUUGAGGGAGGCAGAGGAGAGUGGAAUUCCCGGUGUAGUGGUGAUAUGCGUAGAUAUCGGGAGGAACACCAGUGGCGAAGGCGGCUCUCUGGGCCUUUCCUGACGCUGAGACGCGAAAGCGUGGGGAGCGAACCGG